rnacentral:tRNA from 1 species
GGGGUUGUAGCUCAGUGGUAAAGCACUUGCCUCAAAAGUAUGAGGCCCUGGUUCAAUCUUCAGCACCA